ACAAAAACAAUGUUAGCAUCCCCAUCUAUGUCUAACUUAUCCACUUGCUGAAAAUUGUAGAGCCGAUGUGCGUAGUCGAAGCAGUGAGUUCCAUUCACAUAUGCUUUUAUACUCUUCUCUCCACAGCGGAAAGAAAUCUGGAAGAAAUGAGACAAUUGAUUAACACUGCGUACAAAAAUCAGAGAUAAGGUGGAGGUUCUCAGAACUGGAUAUAUGAAGAACCUGAAUUCCUUUCACAACCACGGUGCGUUUCGGGAUAAACCCGCCUCUGAUGCUUGUCGAAAAUGGAACUGGCUGUAAAUAUUUAUAAGCUGCAGCCAGCCCACUCUGUCCAGAGGAAUUCGGUGUGCAAACUCAUAGAAUGGAGCACCAUUAGCAAACACCUGGAUAAUACAGAAGAUGCAGCAAUGAGCCAUGGCAUAACAUGUUCAGUUUCAGCAUUGCUGCUGUCUACAUAGGAUUUGUAGUAAAAUAGCUAUUUCACCAUCAAUCAAUGUGUACAAUGCAUUCAAAAAAAAUUCAGACCCUUUCGUUUUUUUUACAAUUUGCUAUGUUGCAGCCUUGUGCUCUGUCUGAUUGAAUGGGAACCAUUAAUAGAAACCAAAUUCAGAUCUCUCCAGAGAUGUUCAAGUGGGUUAAAGUCAGGGCUCUGGUUGGCCCACUCAAGGACAUUCACAGAGUUGCCGCUCGUGUUGUCUUGGCUGUGUGCUUAGGGUCAUUGUCUUGUUGAAAGAUGAACCUUUGGCCCAAUCUGUGGUCCAGAGCACUCUGGAUUAGGUUUUUAUUAGGAAUAUCUCUGUACUUUGCUCCAUUCCUCAACCCCAGCCAGUCUCCCUGUCCUAACUACUGAAAAACACCCUCCACAGUAUGAUGCUGCCCCCACCAUGCUUCACUGUAGGGAUAGUAUUGGACAGGUAGUUGCUGCCACAGUAUUGCUAUACGAGCAAAUGCUACUCCCGCUGCUCGCUCAUUCAACCUUCCUUUCCAGAUUGUAAGCCCUCAUUGCCAGGAUCUUCUGUGCCAGUGUGUGUAUGUAGUUCAUAUUUAUUGCACUUGUUUCUUGUCAAAAGUUAUGUAUUUAAACCCUAUUUCCCUAUGUACUGUGCCCUGGAAAAACGUGCAC